rnacentral:rRNA from 1 species
GGAUGAAUAUUGGGCAAUGGGCGGAAGCCUGACCCAGCAACGCCGCGUGGAGGAAGACGGCCUUCGGGUUGUAAACUCCUUUUACGGGGGAAGAGGAAGGACGGUACCCCGAGAAUAAGUCACGGCUAACUACGUGCCAGCAGCCGCGGUAAUACGUAGGUGACAAGCGUUAUCCGGAAUUACUGGGCGUAAAGCGCACGCAGGCGGCGCGAUAAGUCUGACGUGAAAUCUCCCGGCUUAACUGGGAGGG